rnacentral:rRNA from 1 species
GUGCCAGCAGUCGCGGUAAAACGUAAAGGACAAGUAAUACACAUAAUAGGUAUAAAGAGUUAGCAAUACUGAUCAAUAUAAUAUAAAUAUUAUAAAUAUAUUAUAUAUAAAUGAUCUAGAAUCUAUAAUUAAGUUAUUAUGAGGUAUAUGAGUAGCGGUUAAAUGUGUAAAUACAUAUACAACAACCAAUUAAGAAGUGAUAUAACUAAUACAUAGAUUGACGUUGAGUAACGAAACUUAGAGUAUCGAAUAGGACUAGUCAACCUAUUAGUUCUAAGCGUAAACAAUGUAUACUAAUAUUUAUACACAAAAGUAUGGAUAUAAAGCUAAUGCGCAAGUAUAUCACCAGGGGAGUACUUAUUAAUCGAAGAAACCCAAAACAAUAGACGGUUUGAGUUUUAACAGUGGAUUAUGUUAUUUAAU